CUCUUUUCGCAUUAUCUUUCGUGCGAUCUUUCCAUUCCUACUUGUUGUUUGAUAAGUAGUACGGAAUUAUCUCACAUUAGAUAUUGGGAGUUUUC